ensembl:lncRNA
UGGAAACACAAUACUUUGACAGAACAAUAAGACGCAUUCACUUGCAUGCAAAAAAUGGUCCAUUUUUAUGUUAAAGGUUUCUUUCUAUUGAUCCUGAUUAUUGUCUCAUCAGAAUGCAGCGAUACCCAAACUGUGGCUGCAUAUGAAGAUGCGACUCUCUUUAGGCUGAAUUCAGAUGAAAUUGAAGCAGAAAGGUGCUACCAAGUCAAGGUGACAAAGUACACCUCAGACAAAAAAACAAUGGUCAUCUUUAUGUGGCCCAAAAAGAAUCAACCAUCUAAACGAAUGUCAUGGGAAUCUAACGGAAACGGACUGAUGUUUUUCCAUCUGAAAAAUUUGCAAAAAUCUGAUGAAGGGACGUACAGCUGUGAAAUCUGGCAAGGAUGGGAUCUUGUUCUGAUGAAAAACAUGACUCUGAAAGUAAAAGAUUGCAAAACCCGUCCUGCAGUGAAGGUAAAACUAGACUCAUCCGUCAGGCUGCAGUGCUCUGUUGACAUCACACCAGAGAAGCAAAGACCACAAAAUGUCUCCUGGGCAAAGCUAAAAGGACUUCACCAUGAACCUGUUGACUCUCAGAGGGUUGGACCAGACAACACAUUGAUAAUCCAGACUGUGAGACACAGUGACAGUGGCUGGUAUCGGUGUAAUUAUGUUCUUGGAAAAACUAAGCGCUGCACUGACGUCCGUCUAAAUGUUCAAGAAGCAGAUGACACAUCUGAAGAUACAACAGCCACGACCACCCCAAACACCCCAACACACACUCUGCAAGGAUCACACUUUGCAAAUGUGAUCACACUGCUAGUUCCUGCCACUUUUGGGUUGGUCACUGCCACCAUACUUGGACUGUUCUUUUACUGCAGACAACGAAGGUGGAAAGUUACAGCACAGCAUCAGACUGCAGAUGCACCUACAGAGACUAUGGAUAAUUGUUAUCAGCAGAUGCUUCAGUCACAUUCACAGGAAAUGGCAGAUGAGUAUCAGACUUUACAUGAUCAAUCGUAAGUGCCCAUCUUUGUUCAUGUUACCUUCCUGAUCAAAGCACCUACUUGUUUAAACCUUCACUGACAAGUUUUUUUUUUAAAUAUCCCAGAUCUUGCACACCAGUGCAUGAAUAAACGAUAUUACUCUUCACAUGAACGGCCGCAUACUUGUCAGUACAACUGUAAAGUCAAAAUUACAUUCUUUGAAAUCAUACCGAACUGACAAAUAUGACUAAAAUAAUUUUCUCUCCUCUAUCACUGGCUUUUUCUAGAUACUCUAUGCCACCUUUGGAAAAGGAAAAUUUGUUCUCUUAAAUUUCAGCAACUUCGUGUUUAUAUCAUCGUUGCACUGAGUCCAUUCAUGUCACAUGUGUCUUGUGAGUCUUUCAUUAUAUUAUUAUGACAUCUGUAUUCUAAGAAUGAUGUGUUUCUCAUGUAUUUUUGAACGGAAUGAUGUUGUAAAUGUCAAUUAAAUAUAUCUUCCUGUUACAAGAGGGGGUGCUGUUUCAAACAGAGGUCUACAAAAAUGUAGUUAUUUCCAUUCAGUUCACAGGCUGUAACAGAUGACAGAAAUCAUCCGUGACUGUUGUCGUUCCUCAACAUUUAUACGAGGUAUCUUGGAUCCCAUCGUAGACCAACCCGGUCAGUCAAGCGUUCAGAUAGCCGCCGGUGACGGGACGCGUCCUGGGGUCAUGGAGGGGGAGCACUCCUCAGUCAAGCUCUCUUAACAUGCUUUACUCACUUUUGAACGCAUUUCAACCGAGAAUGUAACCACGUUGAUUGCCAAUAUGUGUUUGGAUCACUCAGAAAAUGGUUGUAUUUUUUUUUCCCCCUUGUAUAUUUGAAUGGAUACAAACAUGAUGGUGUUUCCAGAAUGUUACUGUGAGGUAGUGUUGGUGCAUUCACUUUUAAAUUUGUCUUUAGUGUGGACUGGGCCAUAAACAGUAAAAUUGUUUAAUACCUCAAUGUCCAAAUAAAAAAAAAACAUUAUUUGCAUUGUUUCAUUGGAGGAGGGAAUGGCCAGAUAAUUCCCACUGAAAUGUAUUACUGUAGUUUAAAAGACGUCGUUUGAGACACGAAAAAAGUGUGUAGAUGGUUUCCUGGACACAAAUUAAUUUUCUUGACUCAAAUCAUGAAUUGCCUUGAGACUUUGUUGUGUAGACAUGAGUCUUGAAAAGAAGUGAUAGUACAUUGAGACUUAAUGGGCCAUUUUCACAGCUCCACUACUUCCUGAAAUUAACUGUGCACAUUCAUUUCCUGUCUUGC